GAAAAUUAAAAAAAAAUUUUGUUAUCUGUUUUACGUGAUAACGUCAUAAAGAAACAUUGAUGAAAAAUUGCAUACUUUUAUGAAUUGAAAUGAAUUAUUAUCACUGAAUUAUCAUUAUUUUGUAUUUAAAAAUUUAAAAAUUUAUUUUAACAAAAAAAAG
rnacentral:lncRNA from 1 species